CCUACGGGCGGCAGCAGUGGGGAAUAUUGCUCAAUGGGCGAAACCCUGAUGCAGCGACGCCGCGUGAGUGAGGAAGUCCUUCCGUAUGUAAAGCUCUUUCAGCAGGGAAGCAAAUGACGGUACCUGUCCAAGCACCGCCGGCUAACUACGUGCCAGCAGCCGCGGUAAUACGUAGGGGGCCAGCGUUAUCCGGAUUUACUGGGGGUAAAGGGAGCGUAGGCGGGUGUGUAAGCCAGAAGUGAAAGCCCGAGGCUCAACCACGGGACUGCUUUUGUAACUACAUGGCUCGAUUGCAGGAGAGGCAAGUGGAAUGCGUGGUGUAGCGGUGAAAUGCGUAGAUAUUAGGAGGAACACCAGUGGCGAAGGCGGCUUGCUGGACUGUAAAUGACGCUGAGGCUCGAAAGCGUGGGGAGCAAACAGGAUUAGAUACCCCUGUAGUC
rnacentral:rRNA from 1 species